rnacentral:lncRNA from 1 species
GGCCUCAUGACACAGUCACCAGUUUGAGAUUUUGUCUAUGCCAGCACUAGGCUGCCAGACUUCAAACUCCUUCACCUUCUACUGCAAUUCCAGCUCCCUGACAAUGGCAAGAUUCAUGGCUGGGACAGAAUAACCAGCAUGGAAUGCCGGGAAACUCAGAACCGCACGUGCUGCAAAUGCACGGAAGCAGGGCUCAUUGCCACUGGGCUCAAAAUACUUCCGGGGGACAUGAAACUCUCCCACUGGUCUGGGUAAUUCUCCCCCUUCCUCCACACUUCCACUGCAAACAGGAGACAGUGCGGCCAGCAAGUACCAGCUCUGCAGAGAAAACUCCACCUGGCCCCUGUUCAUGCCCAAGAUAUUUAUUCACUUAUUCAACAGCCAUUUGGGAAGCCACUGCUUCAGAACGCUGACUGCGUGGUGGGGGACACGAAGCCAGGUCCUCAGCUGCUUGGUACUGGCUUUCCCUGCCUGAUCCAGGGGUCUUUUCAGGCAGGAGUUUCCUUGAAGGGAAGUGAUGGCCCCAAGCCUCUUAAUCAGAAGCCCAGGUAGGGAGCUUCUCUCUCUGGGGUAGAC